UACGUAGGGGGCAAGCGUUAUCCGGAUUUACUGGGUGUAAAGGGAGCGUAGACGGCCAGGCAAGUCGGGUGUGAAAGGCGGGGGCUUAACCCCCGGACUGCACCCGAAACUGCCAGGCUUGAGUGCCGGAGGGGCAGGCGGAAUUCCUAGUGUAGCGGUGAAAUGCGUAGAUAUUAGGAGGAACACCGGUGGCGAAGGCGGCCUGCUGGACGGCAACUGACGUUAAGGCUCGAAAGCGUGGGGAG
rnacentral:rRNA from 1 species